AGUAUAGUAUGUCGAAAAAAAUCAUAGUAUAUAUCAACAAGAAGAGUCUACAGUCCUCUGGAGAAUGUGGGCAUCAAUCCCACUACCUCUUGCAUGCUAAGCAAGCACUCUACCAUUUGAGCUAAUUCCCCCAU